AUUACUCCAGCAAACAGUAUUGAACAGUAACGGUUAAAAUAGUAGAAGAGCUCUCAAUGAAAGCACUGCAGCGUCCUUCGUGGUGCAAAGGGGCAGAAGUUUGGUUGUUUCUUGCAGCACAGGAUGAAAAUCAGAUGAGCCAAGUAUCGAGAGAGUGUUUUGAAGUGUUUCGCUUCACAGAAGCCGUUUGGAGCUUUUCCUUCUGAGUGUGCACUACCUGCACCAGCCUGAUGCUGACGCCGGGAUCACCUUCCUUGGCACCACCGCCUGUUGCUGUAGGCAGCAAAGCGUGUCUGAAAUAGGAUGGGAAAAGCUGCGUGGGAUUGAUCCAGCCCCAGGUGCAGGCUGGGGUCUCAGUACAGUGGAAGAAGACUGGAUGAAGGCAAGGUUUGGUUCCAGAACAACCUGAACAUCAGGAGGCAUUCAUCCUCUGUGAAUGAGACAUCCAAGGAUUGAUAUUGGAACGUUUGAACCAAGCCAAGAAAUGUAUCUACCCAAAAAUAGAAGCGUUGGGGUUUAGACUGUCCCAUCUGAGACAAAGACAGGUGGUGUACAGUACAAGGUAAUUAAUGCUGGUAAAAAUUUCAGAACAAAGUGGCCAAAAGGCUGAGCUCCAAUUCAACAGGUGAGUGCCAACAGCAUCUGCAGCUCACUUCUGAUUGCUAAAGCUGAAACUAUUCCCCAAAAACAUGCUCUGAGAGGGGGAAACAGUUUGGUUUAGUGUGGGUAACGAUGAACUUACAUGUGAUGCAAAUACUUUAUCAUGGGGACAUGGAAUUGGAAUUAAUGGAAGAGAUACUAGAGAAUGAGCAGAGCUGGUAGCCUAUGAGAAUGGCUGCUUGUGCUCAUCUCCCACAGACUGAUUGGGAUCUGGGAGGGCACGUUCACUCCACGUGCAGCAGUGCAGUCCCAGGGAUGCAUGUCAUCCACUGCAUUUGCGUUCAGCCCUGUGAACACAUGUUGUCUUUCUCAGUUAAGAAGAAUUGCCAGAGGGCCUAUUGGAAAAGCACUGUGAAAGGCUACUUUAGGUUUGAUAUUUAGCAAAAGAAAGGCAGGUGGAGACACUGAAGGCAGAUGGCAAUUGGGUGAUAAGGAUCAUUCAAAAAAGAUAAAAUGAUGUAAUUUGGUAUUCUAAAGAAAGGGAGAAGGAUGGAAUGAAGGUGAUGGACUUCAGAAAUCAGGCAGCAGUGAGGGUCUCUGGUGGGCACCAUGAAGAGGUGGAGAGGUGUCACUGUGUGGAACAACAGAGGCCUCAGCCCUGCAAGAAAUCAAAAGCAUCCUCCAAAACCAGAAAUAGAGACACGUGGCCAUGGGUGAAUAGCAAGGAAUAAUCUCUCCACUAUGCAGAUGCAAUCAAAACACAUGAGGCAUAAAACUGGCAAAGAACAUAAAAAGCAAGAGGAAUGACAUCUCUACACGCAUCAGAAAUAAGAAGACAAAGGAAUGCAUAGCCCUUGUAUGGAGCAGUGAAGGGAAACAACUGAACACUAAAAUUCAAUACUUUUUUAUUUCAGACUUUGGAAAAAGGUGAAUUGUUACCAGGCAGUUACUGCAAUUAAUUGUAACGAAGGGAUUAGCAAGGACAGAGAUGGUAGAAAUGCAUUUAGAUGAACUAGAUGUUUUCAAGUGAUUGGAGCCUGAUGAAAUCCUCUGCAUCAGCGGUGGCUACGGGCAGGAGGAGCAGGGCUCUGCCUGAGCAGGAAACCAGGCUGAGUGGGCUGAAGACUUCUGUUUACCACAAGCUGAGCAGUGUGAGCCUCAGGACUAGCUCACGUUGCUGCAGGGCAUAUCCAUUGGCACUGUGAGCAUUUCUAGAGAGGGAGGAUUCACAGCUUGUCCAAGACCUUGCUUCACUGCAUUCAGCACAGAAUGACAGAAUGCUUUGGGUUGGAAGGGACCUCAAGGAUCACGAAGCUCCAACCCCCUGCCACAGGCAGGGCCACCAACUUCCACAUUUCAGAGCAGCCCAGGCUGCCCAGGGCCCCAUCCAACCUGGCCUUCAGCAAUGCCACAACCCCAGAAGUCAGAGGGUUUUGUUCAGAUCUCAGCCUCUAGACUUUUGUAGAGCAGUAGGUGGCCAUUACCUGCUAGCACUUCUGUAUACACACGUUACAGCACUGCAAGUAGACUUCAUACCGUAAAGAAAUAAUAUAGUAAGUUACAAAUUGAGUGCUAUAGAUGGAAUCCACUCAGCUUUUAAAAUUAGAUGUUAGGAAACUGGUUUGAGGAACCCUGUAGUUCAGGUAACACCCUGGCUUAGGUCAGCUUUGACUAUUGAGAUUCCUUUUACAAACAUCCUUCCAUGCAAAGGCAUUUUGGAGUGGAGCCAUGAAAACCUUUUGCUUUGUUAUUGGUGUGGUUCAAUUCUUGUUGAAGCUCUGAAUCAACACAUACUGGAAAAAGGUGAAUAUUUCUGUGCUUUGGUAGCAUGCUAUUCUUUUCUACAGAGCCCAAACAUCAAAACCUUGAGAUGUAUCUUGAACGCUUAUAACCAACAACUAUUCUGGGGAAGAAUGUGCUUAUAAUGUCAUCUUUUUGUUGUUGUUGUUUCUUUGAUGGGCUUUUUCAUUAUUAUUUUUUGCCUUUUGCAGAAUCUCUUUAAUAGAAAAGCAAGACAUCUGAAUGAAUUUUAUAUGCUCCUUGAACUGCUCAAGCCUUUGAAAUAACUCAGCUGGAAGUUUUAGUCGAUAUGAAUGGAGACAUUUAAAAUAACUUUGUGCUCUUCUGUCAAUAAAAGGUGGCAAAAGGCUAAACAGAUGGAAUUAGACAGCAGAGUUCAAGAUUCAAGCAUCCUCCACCGGGAAAAAGCCAUUCAUUAGUAAUCACAACUGAGAAAUUUCAUAUGAAUUUAUUUCUGUGUUUGGUACUAAAGAAACAGCUUUCAUGCAUGAGUGAUGUUAGGGGUGGAAAUAGAGAAAUCUACCUAUUAAUGAUUAAUUCAGUGCUGGAAAAAUUCUGAAUUCCAUCUUUUUCCAACUCCAUUUGCAAAUUCUGUGUUCUCUGAAGAACAACAAGCAGAGGAGUUAGCAGUGUUGGAUGUAAGCAGCAGUGAGUGGAUGUGCUCUUGUGAGCCAUCAUGCAGCACUGGUGGCCUUCGUGGGUGGGUGAAUGCAGGACUGCAUCCAUGGAGAGGAACUGUAGAACAACUGUGGAAGCUCCAAGGCUUGAGAAGUUUCAAUAGUUCCAUCAGCACCUCCUGCCAUGGGCCUGUGCUGCUUUCCAAACAUCAGCACUGCAGCACAGCGUUGCUGGCGUGCCGUGUGCUGGAUAAGAUGCCUUUUGAAAACAGUCUUCCAGCUAAUUAGGAAAGGAAGUCAGCGCUGCGGAAAUAGAAUGAGAUGAUGUUGUGCCAGACAACUUUCAUAGCCCUCAGCCUUUACCUAAAUACAGAGGGUGCUCCAGAGAUCAGCACAGUGACUUGUGCCAGUAUAUGCCUCUUGACUUGAUUGGGUUUUAUCCUUAUGCAUUGUCUGAAUCUGUAACACAGCUGUGGCAGAAAGUUUCUAGAUGGGGAACUUCUGAACAGCUUGUGAGCACAGUCCUUAGCCUUGUCAUGUAAGAGGUGUUGUGGGAGAAGUUAGCUCAUCCUUAGGACUUCCCAAACCCUGCACGUGCAUAGCAAAAUACUGAUAAAUAUUUUUGGUGUUAUUGAUCAGUAUUAUUGAUCAUAAUGCUGAUAUUGCAAAUUGGUCAGCAUCUGACCGAUUAGAACAGGCUGAUGGCUGCUCUCAGAGUGAUGGGAAUGCAUGCGGAUCUCGUGCAUAACUCAGACUUGGUGUCUAUAAAUCAAAACCAACAACUUUCAUUCAACCCACAAAUAGCUCAUGGUGCUCUCAGUGAUUUGCACCAGCUUUGUAGCAGAUACUUCGGGCUUGCAAGGAAAAUGUAGCUUUGUCCCUCCUACCUCUCCUUUAGUGAAAAAUGCUUGUCAGGCCUGAAAAGAAAAGAUGAGAUCUUGAAAUGUUCCUGCCUGUAGGCCAUACCUGGUACAUGGACAUGGGCAUUGUUCAGCUCGCUCACAUUCUUCCUGUUAUCAGCUGGGCUUCACUGUGUGAAAAACAAGGUUGGAUUCCAUGAGGUUGGAAAAAAACACCCCUUACUCGUGGUGUAGGGGUCACUGUGCCAUGACAGAUAGCUAUUCAUUAAGGUAUGAUGUGUUGUGUAUCUUAGCAAGGUUGCCUUGCUGCAGUAUUUUCACCUCUGUGAUCUCCUUUGCCCACUAAAGAGGAGCCCUUUCCCGUAGAAAGUUGAUCACUGAGGUGCAUUAUCUAAAAUAACACCUAGGCAUGAGGAGGAUCUAUAGAAAAUACAUUAUGAGGCAGUUAUGAGAGAAGCACCUGUGCUUUCUUCAGUGGGCACUAGGCAGUGGAUCACACUAAUAGUGCUGUUUGCAAAUAUCAAAUAAUAAUGGAAAGCAUGACAAUAAUGAAGUAAGUAAUCAGAUGAACUGUUGAGCACAGGUGCCUACAUUUACAACUCUUUCAUCAAAAAGAAAAUUAAGCGCUCUCAGAAUAUUACUGCAAAUUACUUGCUGUUAUAUGACUGCUAAUCAGGUGGAGUACGUAAAUGCAUCAGGAAAAAUCUUCUUGAGCAAUUAUGGCAGUAGAUGAUUAAGGCUCACAGCACAUCAUGGGACAGAGAAUGGGCUCCUUUCUUUGCCCGCAGAUGUAAAUGCUCAUUGCAGAAACCCUUUAGAGUUAGCAGCAGCUCUGAUGGGUUUGGCUGAUGCACAGUGUGGCAGAACACGGCUCCUGUGUCACCACUCUCUGAGUGGCACUGCAUGAGGCCAUCUGUCCUCCUGGGGCUGCGGUCCUUGGGGCUCCCAGUGAAGGUGUGUGGGAGGCUGGGAUGGGGGCACCCCUAUAUGCAGCACCACAUCUGGUAGUCAGCUGUGUGAGCUCAUGCCCACACACCCCCAGCACCAUGAUGCGAGGAGGGCCCUUCUACAGGGUGCCUCACGGGCCACUUCUCUGCAGGAUUAGGAGGAAGAAGAUGCUAGAUUUACAGAAUUCGACUGGAGAACUUGCCUACAGCCCAGAGCACGUGGCCAUGCAGGUGCAGAGGAAUGCUCCAUCCCCAGAGAUCUGGAGAUACCCGAGGCUGUGGAUGGGCCCUGGGCAGCCUGAUCAGGUGGGGAGCACCCAGCCCAGGGCGGGGGGCUGGGGCACGGGUUGCUGUGAGGUCCCUUCCAACCCAAUCAAGCUGUGAUUCUGUGAGUCUAUAGCUCUGCGAUGAUCACUGUGCCUUGCCAGCCUCCUGGCUACAGGGGAGGUUCCAGGGAGGUUCUUUCAGUACAACAAUAUUGCUGUGAUAGCAUUUCCCAAUAAACUAUACAUUAAUUGUGCAGAUGUGACAUAGAAACUAGCUUGCAUUUAUACUUUGUGUCACAUUUGAAUCCACAACCAAACUGUUUUUGAUAUUUACAGACUAUGCUAUUCCUGCAAGAUAUGGAAAAUCUCCUUUAAUUUAAAGCACACAGUGGCAUCCCUUCAGUUUAUCGUGCUGCCAGUGCUAUCAUGAAAGUGUUCUGUGUUCUUCUGCCGUACAGACUGAGCUCUCUGCUGCACAAGCCCACUGCUCAUGUUGUGCUGAGCACGGAUCCUUGUGUUGUAAGAGCAUGCAAGCUCUCUGUCAGCCUCAGUGACUCAGGAUUAGUAUGGCAAGCCAUAAAGAAAAAUGAAUUGGGUUUUGGAUAUCUCAGGAUAGAAGUUAAUAUAAUCCUAUUCUUAAAAAAAAUGGUAUCUUCAUCUGUUCUUCUCUGCUGCUUCCUCUGCUCUCUUUUAUUGAGUUUUAUAAAUCCUUCUAUUUCCCUUCAUUUAAUUUCUGGUGAGUUUGGGAUUGUGAAGCUGUUCCCAUACUGACACUUGAAUAGCAGACGUGCUAAUAUCUGCGUGUAUCUGCUUUAUCCAUGCAUGAAAAGGA